CUGGGCUGUGCUUGCCUUGGUUUCCCUCAACCCAGCUCGAAUAAGAAUUCCAUUCGAGCUAGCUAGAAUUUGGCCCUAAUUUUAAGUGCAAACGGGAAAGGGCUUUAGAUAAAAACAAAAAUGUAAAAAGGGUUCUAUAUUGAAUAUUUUGGUGACCUCAAAAUUCCAAUUCAAAAACCAACUGCCAAUCCAUCCCAGCUUGAUGAUGAAAGAGGAUGGUGGUUGAACCAAUUUGCAAGUAGCCUAGCAAUAAGCACAUUAUUAUUCAAUGUAUUAAGUGUGGAGUCAAUUGAGGGGCCUAGCCUAUAUUUCAUGAAGCCACUAGAACACUGUUGCUGACAGAGGCAUGUAUACAUUAUUUAUGAUAAAUUACGCAUAAUAAGUGUUGAUUCAAUAGCCUAGUUAAUCAUGACAUGACUUUUAACACUAUCUGUUUUUCUCAGUCUGGCAGUAACCAAGAACAAUCAGAGGCAGAAGAUCCCUCUUUCAGCUGCUGCUGACAACUGCAUAUAAGUAGAUAGGCCAGUGGCAAAGGAGUUGUGGCUGGUUCGAAUCCUGGGUCUGGCGCUGAAGAAAAAAAAACAGGCAGAAUUGAUCUGACAACUGGAGGGCUGCUGGAUUCACAUCCUCAAAAGGUUCUCCUACUGUUUGGUCCUUGAGCAAGGUCCUUAACCACACAAGAUGUGCUAGUCUCAACUGUAUGUGUCUGCUUUUUGGGGGAGUUGAGAACAGAGCAGAAGACACAUUUUUGUUGUUCAUUGUAACUAAAUGGACAAAGUAUAUUCUAUUAUAAAGAAGUCAGCCAUUCAAACAAAGAGAUGCCUUCCACCAGUGCAUAUUUCCAAAUGAUG